AAUGAACGCUGGCGGCAGGCUUAACACAUGCAAGUCGAACGCGAACGCACCUUCGGGUGUUAGUAGAGUGGCAAACGGGUGAGUAACACGUGGGAACGUACCUUCUGGCUCGGGACAACCGUUGGAAACGACGGCUAAUACCGGAUAUCCUCUACGGAGGAAAGAUUUAUCACCAGAAGAUCGGCCCGCGCCUGAUUAGCUAGUUGGUAGGGUAAUGGCUUACCAAGGCGACGAUCAGUAGCUGGUUUGAGAGGAUGAUCAGCCACACUGGGACUGAGAUACGGCCCAGACUCCUACGGGAGGCAGCAGUGAGGAAUAUUGCACAAUGGAGGAAACUCUGAUGCAGCCAUGCCGCGUGAGUGAUGAAGGCCCUAGGGUUGUAAAACUCUUUCAGCAGGGAAGAUAAUGACGGUACCUGCAGAAGAAGCUCCGGCUAACUCCG
rnacentral:rRNA from 1 species